rnacentral:rRNA from 1 species
AAAUGCCGGUAUGAGUAGCGAAAGAGGGGUGAGAAUCCCCUCCACCGAAUGCCUAAGGUUUCCUGAGGAAGGCUCGUCCGCUCAGGGUUAGUCGGGACCUAAGCCGAGGCCGAAAGGCGUAGGCGAUGGACAACAGGUUGAUAUUCCUGUACCACCUCCUCACCAUUUGAGCAAUGGGGGGGACGCAGGAGGAUAGGGUAAGCGCGGUAUUGGAUAUCCGCGUCCAAGCAGUUAGGCUGGGAAAUAGGCAAAUCCGUUUUCCCAUAAGGCUGAGCUGUGAUGGCGAGCGAAAUAUAGUAGCGAAGUUCCUGAUUCCACACUGCCAAGAAAAGCCUCUAGCGAGGUGAGAGGUGCCCGUACCGCAAACCGACACAGGUAGGCGAGGAGAGAAUCCUAAGGUGAUCGAGAGAACUCUCGUUAAGGAACUCGGCAAAAUGACCCCGUAACUUCAGGAGAAGGGGUGCUCUGUUAGGGUGCAAGCCCGAGAGAGCCGCAGUGAAUAGGCCCAGGCGACUGUUUAGCAAAAACACAGGUCUCUGCGAAGCCGUAAGGCGAAGUAUAGGGGCUGACGCCUGCCCGGUGCUGGAAGGUUAAGAGGAGCGCUUAGCGUAAGCGAAGGUGCGAAUUGAAGCCCCAGUAAACGGCGGCCGUAACCAUAACGGUCCUAAGGUAGCGAAAUUCCUUGUCGGGUAAGUUCCGACCCGCACGAAAGGCGCAACGAUCUGGGCACUGUCUCAACGAGAGACUCGGUGAAAUUAUAGUACCUGUGAAGAUGCAGGUUAUCCGCGACAGGACGGAAAGACCCCAUGGAGCUUUACUGCAGCCUGAUAUUGAAUGUUGGUACAGCUUGUACAGGAUAGGUAGGAGCCUUGGAAACCGGAGCGCCAGCUUCGGUGGAGGCAUCGGUGGGAUACUACCCUGGCUGUAUUGACCUUCUAACCCGCCGCCCUUAUCGGGCGGGGAGACAGUGUCAGGUGGGCAGUUUGACUGGGGCGGUCGCCUCCUAAAAGGUAACGGAGGCGCCCAAAGGUUCCCUCAGAAUGGUUGGAAAUCAUUCGCAGAGUGUAAAGGCACAAGGGAGCUUGACUGCGAGACCUACAAGUCGAGCAGGGACGAAAGUCGGGCUUAGUGAUCCGGUGGUUCCGCAUGGAAGGGCCAUCGCUCAACGGAUAAAAGCUACCCCGGGGAUAACAGGCUUAUCUCCCCCAAGAGUCCACAUCGACGGGGAGGUUUGGCACCUCGAUGUCGGCUCAUCGCAUCCUGGGGCUGUAGUCGGUCCCAAGGGUUGGGCUGUUCGCCCAUUAAAGCGGUACGCGAGCUGGGUUCAGAACGUCGUGAGACAGUUCGGUCCCUAUCCGUCGCGGGCGCAGGAAAUUUGAGAGGAGCUGUCCUUAGUACGAGAGGACCGGGAUGGACGCACCGCUGGUGUACCAGUUGUUCUGCCAAGGGCAUCGCUGGGUAGCUAUGUGCGGACGGGAUAAGUGCUGAAAGCAUCUAAGCAUGAAGCCCCCCUCAAGAUGAGAUUUCCCAUUCCGCAAGGAAGUAAGAUCCCUGAAAGAUGAUCAGGUUGAUAGGUCUGAGGUGGAAGUGUGGCGACACAUGGAGCUGACAGAUACUAAUCGAUCGAGGACUUAACC